UACGUAGGGUGCGAGCGUUAAUCGGAAUUACUGGGCGUAAAGCGUGCGCAGGCGGUUCGUUAUGUCCGUUGUGAAAGCCCCGGGCUCAACCUGGGAAUGGCAAUGGAAACUGGCGGGCUAGAGUGUGGCAGAGGGGGGUGGAAUUCCGCGUGUAGCAGUGAAAUGCGUAGAGAUCGGGAGGAACAUCAGUUGCGAAGGCGGCCACCUGGACCAGCACUGACACUGAGGCACGAAAGCGUGGGGAGCAAACAGG
rnacentral:rRNA from 1 species